GUCUUAUAGUCAAAAUUGACUUUAAAUUGCAAAUUUAAAGGUGAUCUCUAAGGUCUAAGGCUUA
rnacentral:tRNA from 1 species